AGUGAACGCUGGCGGCGUGCUUAACACAUGCAAGUCAAACGCGAACAGAUCUUCGGAUCUAAGUAGAGUGGCGCACGGGUGAGUAACACGUGAAUAAUCUACCCUUUGGCCUGGGAUAACAUUUCGAAAGAGAUGCUAAUACCGGAUAAGACCACUAAGUGAGAAAAGCUGGGGACCCGAAAGGGCCUGGCACCAGGGGAUGAGUUCGCGGCCUAUCAGCUUGUUGGCGGGGUAAUGGCCCACCAAGGCAACGACGGGUAGCUGGUCUGAGAGGAUGAUCAGCCACACUGGAACUGAGACACGGUCCAG
rnacentral:rRNA from 1 species